GGCCGCUACAUUGUCGGGCGAAGGGUUGGUUACUUUGUCGCACUGGACCAAGAGAGUAGAAUGUAUCCCUCCACACUUUAAGAAUUUGGCUCCUUCUCGGCUUUGAAACAGAUUGCGUGGUUUUUUCGGGGGUGGGGGCUUGAAACAGAUUGUGUGGUUUGUCCGGGAGCGUUAGACUUUUAUUUACUGGAGAAGGAUCAUCACAGCUGGUGACCUAAGCUGGAUUUAGCCUUUUUCCCUUAGAUUCUCAGAGCACAUGACCUCUGAACGAGAAGAAGCGCUAAGAGUUUGUAAAUUUACCAGCAAUGUCCAGGAAGACGCCCAGCACGUGCAUUUUCAGCACCGUGAGACUGGCACUCAAUUCUUUUUCAGAAAAAUGACAAUCUAGGACUCCUAGAAAGGUGGGCGGGAAUGUGCUGUUUUUAUGAAAAUGUCAAGGAACUUCUCAGAAUCACAUUAAGCAUGCUAAUUACCAAAUAUUAAAUGCUAAUUUGCUCUACCCGGUUGGAAUGCCAAGACAGAUGACACUAGCAGUGUUAGGAAUGUUUUUUGACUGAUGUUUUGCAGCCUCUCCCUGAAGGUGGGAAGCCUGUGCCCUGUCUCAACUGGUGCUGAGAAGCACAGGGUUGCUACUGGUGGUGCAGGGGGGAAAGUGGAGGAUCAAGUCCAUCCGAUUCCUUAUACAAGUGGAACAGAGCUGCUCCAGCACACGCGUCCUCAGAUGCAGAUGACGCCUUCAGCUCUCCUGUCGAGGAGGUACAGCCCUGGUCCCAAGCAGGAACAGCCAAUACCUCCCGGCUACACAGCUGCCCAAAACUUCUAGGCUCACAGAAAGCAAAGGCCCUGAAUAAAUUACAGGCAAAGGAGUUCCCAAAUGCACAGCACCAUGGGCCCAGCACUGCCACUCAACUUCAGAUCACCAAGAGGAGAAACUGGUUUCGCCAGCAGUGGCUGUUACCGCACAACCCAGUUGAAAACAGAACUCAUCUCGAACAUCAAGAUGGGGUUGCCCCAUGGCUUGGUGGCUGAGGGAGCCAAAUCCUACACAGCCACAGGUGUGGGUUGAAUCUUAGACCUACCUGGUGGCUUGAUAAACAUGCCAGGUUCCUACAAGGACAGAUAAAACUGACAAAUUAUCAUCAUGUGUGACAUCAAGCAGCAAGCAAGAGGCCUAGCCUGAAUGGCACAAGUGGUCGUGUGAGCACCACCUACAGCGUUGGGAGCCACGCGGCCGCCCGUGAGACGUGAGCGCCGCCUACAGCGCUGGGAGCCACACAGCCGCCCGUGGGAUGUGAGCACCACCUACAGCGCUGGGAACCACGCGGCCACCAGUGGGACGUGAGUGCUGCCUACGGCGCUGGGAGCCACACGGCUGCCCAUGGGACGUGAGCACCACCUACAGCACUGGGAACCGCGCGACGACCCGUGGGACAUGAGCAUCACCUACAGUGCUGGGAACCGCGCGGCCGCCCCUGGGAUGUGAGCACCACCUACAGCGCUGGGAGCCACACGGCUGCCUGUGGGAUUGGGCUCUAAGUCAAUCAAGAACACGCUGGGUGCAUAAGGCCCAUAUCCUGCCUACCUGGAGGGCUAGAAGGGGACCAUGGUGUGGUCACCCUGUUGGGGAUGCCAGUCUUUCUCUCUCUCUCGUGCACAUGUAUGCUCCAAUAAAAGAAAUAAAAUAAAUAAAACUAAAAAAAAAGGCAAGAGGAUAACUGUGUUAUUAAUAGUAAAGGCUAAUUUUUCUUGGGCCAGAGGGUGGCUAUGGUACGAGGAUUCCAACAUAGUCCAUUGCAGUUGGAGUCCCAGACCUAGUGGCUUGAAACUCACAUUGG